UACGUAGGUGGCAAGCGUUGUCCGGAUUUACUGGGCGUAAAGAGCGCGCAGGCGGUCGUUCAAGUCGCGUGUGAAAGCCCCCGGCUCAACUGGGGAGGGUCACGCGAUACUGAUCGACUCGAAGGCAGGAGAGGGUAGUGGAAUUCCCGGUGUAGUGGUGAAAUGCGUAGAUAUCGGGAGGAACACCAGUGGCGAAGGCGACUACCUGGCCUGUUCUUGACGCUGAGGCGCGAAAGCUAGGGGAGCAAAACGG
rnacentral:rRNA from 1 species